GAUGCACUAACAUAUAUACACACCAACGCAGGAGCGUGAAGGGCACAUAUACACAGAGGCAGGCAGGCGCAUACACACACACGCACACACAUCUGUAAACAUUGAAGACAGCAACCUUCUGAGUUCCCUUUCUUCUGCCCAAUCAUCCUUCUCAUUCUGUUGUUCUUGCUUGUUGUUUGGCGGUGGACGAUUUGAGUGUAUUUCAUUUCUUUUUGGGGGAGAGGGGAAGCUUGUUUGUGUGUGUGUGUGUCAUUGUCUUUUCCCCUCGCCCCUCCCCUUCUUAUUCUUGUUCAAUCCUCCCCCCCCCCCUCGCCUUCGCCUUCGCGCCUUCCCUUGGAGCGUAGCAUACCUGACGGCGUCAAGGAGAACGGGUGGAACAAAGCAGACCGACCAACGAAAAAAAAAACGCGGCGAAGCACGCACAUCAGCUUCCUGGGAAAAAAAAAGCAGCGAGCAAACGACAAAAAAAGUACUCAACGAAAAGCCAUCUAUAUAAGUGCACACACACACACAUAUAUAUGUAUUAGUCAGGGGCACAGCAAGGGAUACAUACAUACACACGUGUUUAAACUUGCGCUCCAAUUAUCAUCACCAAUACACCUUCUUGUUCUUUGUCGAUGCUAUUGUUUUUUUUCCCGCUCGUCUUUUCACAUCAAUCCCUUCCCAUUUCGUCCUCUCACUUCGUUCUUCUGUGCGCUCGCUUCACUUGGUGGCGGUGGCGAUUUUUUUUUAAUUUGGGGUUGCUGCUGUUGUCACCAUUGCGUCAUCCUCAUUUUCUCUUCUCUAUAUUGACGGUGCAGCGGUGCACACAACUUUCUUCGCUGUCCGAAACCACAAUUUAUGAUUUUGCACGCAGACACACGAAUACUCACAUAGUUGCCACAUCCAAACUCGGCCGGUCGGUCGGUGUACAUCGUCUUUUUCCUCUGCUCUGUGUCGCCUUUAGCACGCCUCCACCCUCUACACUCAUUCAGUCGCCGAUCACGCCGCCUUUCUUUUUUUUUAUUAUUAUUAUUCUGCCCGUGUACGUGUACCUGCUUUGCACUUCCUUUCCUGUCAGCCUGCCCCUUAGCGCUCGAAGUUAUUUUUCUUAGUGUUACACACCUUCACUGGCCCCCUCCUCUUCCUCACCACCACCACCCCCACUUCCACUCUUUCACCUGCCAUCGCGUGUCAAGUGCUGAGAAGCACACGACACCUUCUUUGAUUUUCCUUUAAGGCACCUUUUCUUGCCUUCCUUCUUGAACACCUUCCUCAGGGUGUGAGGGCACAGACCCACGGCUUCUGAACCGCACAAAACAGCGGGCGACCCAACCAACGCGACACAUGUUUUCAAAAGAGAACUUCAUCGACUUAGCUCACCAGGCGGUCAGCGCUGUUCGCCGGAUAGUCGGCAGCUCCGAGUCAUGGAACGUACGCGACGCGCUUUCGGCCACCUCGCAAGUCGUUCUCACAGUCUGUAAGGCAAACACCACACUGGACGCGGCUACUUUGGAGGCGUGGGUGAAUGACCUCGUGCGGGAGCUGGAACUGCAGUCGACGCAGAGCGCCGCUGCCACAGAAACGGCGGCGGCGGGGGAGACUGGAGGUGCGGCAAGCAGCGUCAAAGACGAGGCAUCGAAGCCGCUAAGCGAGCCGGCGCUCAUUGUGAACCUCGAGGUUGCGCGAGAACUCAUAUACUCCUGCAACGCAGAAGAAACUGUAAAGGCGUACUUGAAAAAGAAGCUCGUGGCGGCCAUCGUGCAGCUCUACGGCAGCGCCACGCUCACGCAGAGACUGCGUGACUGCUGCGCCUACGUCAUCGUCGGCGUGUGCUCAUCGCAGCAGCUGCUACUGCGCGACUUCAUGUUUGCCUGUACCGACCGCUUGCACAGUCUCCCGCAGGACCACAACGGCCGCGUCCUUCAAAUCCUCCUUGCGUCGCUCUUGGUAGAGGUGUUUCAUCAGUUCCAGCUGUACUGUUACGGCCGGCUCAAGACAGACCUGGAUGCAGAAACAGAAGCUCACUGCACGUCGCUCAUCGACUGCCUUUUGGAAACAGCGUACUCGCUCAUGGUGCAGGAUGCGGCUGUCGUAUCCCGCACCGCCACUGCGUCUCGGACGGCGUCGGGCGAGGCGGAGGAGAGCCUCGAGUCGGGGUCACCGUCUCCGCCACCAGCGACACACGAUGAAACCUCCACGGCGACGGCAGCAGCGAGCAACAAAGAUGGGAACAGCGGCGAGGCGGCAGGAUCUCCUGCGGCGCCAACCACCACCGUAGCAUGUAACGGUGACACCCCGGCAGCUUCGCCUGCCAACGCCUCCUUGGACAUGGCCGCCAGCGGCGCGAGUCUCGACAUCACCACUUCUGUUGUGCUCCUAGCAGUUGCCGCUGGCGUGUAUCGUGCACGGCCCGCCCUCAAGACCUACCUGGUGCGCCACUGGGGCGCUGAAUAUGCACGAGUGUGGGUCAAGGUAGCCUCGCAGCUCUCGAAGAUGCGCACGAACCUUCUUCUGUCGCUGUCGUCUCGCUCGCCCGUGUCUGCCAUGCUGGAGCCGGUAGAGUACUGGCGGGCAGAGAUGCUCGAAGGCCUGGUGGAGCUAUGCACGUCGGACAGCUUCACAACCCAGCGAGCCAUGGUAAUGGCGUCCAUUGCCGGAAGCGGCAGCAACAAUGGUAGCAGCAGCAACGGGGCAAGUCAGCACGGCGUGGUGUCUUCCACCAAGAUAGGCGGCUCCUCAGCAGCGCGCGCGCCGGCAUCCUCGUCUAGCGGCGCCACCGGUGCUCCCGCCGGCUCGGGGCCGAGCUUCAACAGCGCCGGCCGAUAUCAAUUUGUGCCGAUCCCAGCGGACUGGGAGACUUACCUGUCGCGCAGCACCUCGGCCGUGUGGCGCCUCGCCUCUGCCCUCUUUCCGUGCACCGUCACCUCGGAGGGCGUCAGCAUUCUCAAGGCGGUGCUGCUACUGCUGAACACGCGCCACGCCUCAGCAGAGGCCCUGUACCGCAGCACCAUUUCGACGCUGACAUUGCUGUGCGUUGCGAACCCGCGCAACGCCGUGCUGCUGUCUGAGCACCACUUUUUGCGCACCAUCAUGGCACUGGUUAACUGCAACCAGCCGAGCGUCUUUCCAGCCUCCCAGCAGGUCACACUGCACUUUCGCCACAGCGAGCCAAGCACCUCCGCGCCGGUGGCUGCGCUGGCGCAGACCCUGACGCUGACCCCGGUCAGCACCCUGAACGUGAACACGACCCAGCUUACCUUCUGCUUUCUCAACACCCUCACCUCCACAACGUUCUCCAAGGCGACUGUGGAGCUGCUGAUGCAGGGCAUCAAGGACAUGUGCUCGAUGCCGUCGUCUCAGACAGAUGUCGAUAUUAUCGAGAACUUUCUCCACGGCCUCAGCCGCGCCUUCAUUCCACACCCACUGCUCUUCUUCCCUGGCGAUGGCUGCGUGAGCUGGCGGCUGAAGCAGAUGUUUCCUCGAGGCAGUGGUUACAGCUUUACGGCGUGGAUCUACCCGACGUGUGUGUGGACUGGCGGCAGCUGCCUCUACUCCUUCAUGGAUCCGAACGACACGCGGGUGAGCCUGCUAAUCGUCGCCGACGGACGACAGUGCACGUUGGCGGUGCGGGUGAACAAGGGGGGUGGCGACCCGGCCGAGCUGGUCCUGAGCCGUGGUACCUUCGCCGCGACCACGUGGACGCACGUGGUUGUGAAUCACGGCGUUGCCCUGAACGUGUACAUCAACGGCCAGCGCCUCGAGGGGGUGCACGAUGUGCCCUACCCCAAGGAAAAGCACUUCAUCAUGUUCAACAUUGGCGGGGCCGCGGAGCUGCCGGGGUUCUUAGGCUUUAUGUCGGGCAUGAACAUCUCCGCCACGCUCCCUGAGAAGGAGAUCGCGAAGCUUCACGCCGCCGGGCCUGCUUUCUAUGACCCCUCAAGGGACUGCGCCUCGUUUCUCAUGCCUUUCUUCGAGGAAAAGCCCAAUGCCCCGUCUGAGCCGCAGACGCCGUCCCUGCUGCAGCAGAACGACAUGAUCACAAAGAAGUCGGCGGAGUUCCGGUGGAACCGCAUCGAACUCUACGUGCCUACCGAUAUUGAAGAAAUGAUUGCGCCAAGCAAGGUGGCGGAAUGGGUGCUCGGUGUGCUCAAGGGGCGGCGGACGGCGUCUGCUCAGAGCACGUCGACCUUUCUGAACGUUGCGAAGCUGAGCCUCAGUCUCUUGUCGACAUCCAUGCAGCUCGCGACGACGGAACAGCUGACGCAGCUGAUGCUCAAAAACUACCUGGACCAGCUGCGCACCGAGGUGCUUUCGUGGAAGGUGACGUUCCCAGAGUUCGCAUCACUAAUGCUGCAGUCCGUGACGCCACGCGGUGGGGGCAAGGUGCUGCAGCACCAUGCUUGCACGCAGCGCGUCUUUGACAUCCUUCUCAGCUGUGUGCUGCGGGCAAGAACCCAUGGCAGCGGGGGCGUGAACGGCGUCGCGCAUCACCGAGUUUGCGCCAGCAGGGACACCAUAGAUCCGAGCGAUGAGAGCGCCGCGGGGUCAACUGUGGCGUCGUCGGCGUCUGUGGCUUCGUCGCCAUGCAGCGAUGCCGCGCAGGAGGCGAACGCCACGAACAUCAUAUUGCGCGAGCUCAGCGACUGUCUUCUUGUGAAGGAGAACAUGGAGAUGUUCCAGGAAGAUUCGUCGCGGUUCCAGUGCAUCCUCAACGUGUCCCUCUAUCUCCCUAAGGAGUGCAUCAAGUCCGUCGUGAUUCUCAUUGAAAAGCUGUGCCACAGAGAGGCAGAGCUGCGCCGGGUGCUCUUGUUCCUUUUCACGCCAAGCUCCGUCACUCCAACAGCGGACACAGCGAAGGUAUGGGUGCUGCGCAUGCUCUUCGACAUUGCCAGGGAGGAGAUGGCGAUGUGCGAGAUGAUCCAGGAGUCCUUCAAGAGCCGGGGCGUCACACUCAUGCUGCUGCUCAUCAACGGCGAAAACCACUCUAGUGAGGCGAUACGCCUGUUGGCGCUUGGCCUGCUCUCGUUGUUGAUGCCGCUGAAGAGCUGCGCAAAGUUCUUCAAGAAAAGCGACGGCUUCGACAUCCUCUCGCUGGCGCUCACGGAGCCGCGCAACGACAUCCCGCUCGGUAUUCGCACUUUCGAUGCCCUCUUUCAAAUCGCCUUCGACGGGUUCCGACGCCACCGGGAGAAGAAGCCGGAGGCGGACAGCAUCGCCGCGCGGCUGAUGGCCACUGCGCAUAUUCUGCACCGCCAAAAGCAGCGUGACCCGAGCUCGUCAGCCGCUGCCGGCGGCGGAGGCGGGUGGUCGACCAGCGUUACAGUAGCUGGUGCGCUGCAGAAGGGCCGCAUGCAGCGGCACAUCGCGGACUUCCUCGGUCACACACCUUCCAUCAUGGUGAACCACCUUGGCACGCGCCGCGGCUACAGCUUCGAGCAUACGCACGACUACGGCAGAGUCAGGGAGGACUUCGGUGAGCUCGUGCUGCUGCACAAGGGAAGCCGCUACCACAACUUGCACCUUCCGAUGGCGCUGAAGACGGUCCUGUGUGCGCUGGACUACCUGAUUCGAGUGCUGCUGUACAGGCUGUCCUCGGCGCCACCGCUGGUGAUCUCCCCAGCCGUGGCAGCGACAGCGACGGCAAUCAGUGGCAACAACAUUACCGGCUCCUCAACAGACUACCUGGCAACAGCAGACGAGUAUCCGGUCUUGUCGACGCAGCGCCACGAGAGCGGGCUGCUGAGCACAAACGCGCGAGCUGCGCAGAUGGAUGAAGAGCGCGUGGUAGUUGAGGUUCUCAACUACCUAGACAAGUUGAUCGAGUGGCCGAAGCACGCGCUGAAGGUGAUGGACAUACCAUGGCUGGGCGGCUUGUGGGCAGCGGUUCGCGUCUUUUUCGAGAGGCCGGUGGACCCGAAUGGUACCACGGGGGCGGUAACGCCGGUGCAGCCCUCGGAGCCGGGGACGAUGGCGCUCACGCCUGCCGUGGCGGGGGCAAACCACCCACCCUCUCUCUCCACGCUGCAGCCGUGCGAGGCGGCCAUUCGGCGCUUGCAUCAGGAUCGCAGUGAGUUUGUUGCUGAGGUGACGCAGCGCUGUCGCACGGUCAUUCGAAAGAUGGUCAUCCUCGACAUCUCCAUGAAUGAGCGGGCGCAGAUUCGAUCGAUCCGCGACGGCGAGCAUCCGCCGCGUCUCGUGCGGAUCGUUCUCGAGGAGGUGGCGCGUUACUUCUCCGUCCAAAAGAACGGUGAGCUUCUCGAGAACGCCGGCACCAUCAUCCGGAACUUGAACUCGCUCUUCAAGGACGUGCACACCGCGUUGCGCCCCUUCCCUCCAACGCUCGGUGUGGCCAUUGUCAUCGCCAUCACGAACAUCUCCGUGUCUAGCAGCAUGCAGGUGCGGCGUCGAAUGAAGAACAGCAGCAACCUCCUGACAAUCCGAGAUCACCUCGCGUUCUAUGUCUUGCGCGAGUCGCGGAGGUUUUUGCGGCUCCGGAAGCGCUCUCUGAACCAGCUGAUUCACAUGAACGUCAACAACGCCAACUCAAUCACGGUGCUGCUCCUGCACCUCUCAAACAGCAUCAAGGAGAACAACGUGAACGAGGUGGAGGUCCUCAUGCCACUGAUCCGGCAGCUAGCGGGUGCCGACUCGGCUCGGCUGCGGGAGCUGCACGCUCUGCUAGGCGACAGCAAAGCCGCGCGCACCUUGGAAGAGCUGCUGAGCAGCAGCGGGGGAGCCAUCACCACCGUGCAGAGCCCGCUACUGCUAAGCACGCACACCUCACAGCCCACGCUAUCGGACCACUGCGCGAGUGAUGCGUUUACAGAUGCGGACUUUAGUACCGGUGGCGGGGAGCGGGCUACGUGGGGCCCAAGCCACGGUAUCGGUUCAAACCUGCUGGAGGAGGAGGGCGGAGAGCUGAGUUCAGGGGCGUGCACGGUGCAGCUGCUUGAAUGGUGCAAAACGAACAAGGAGGCCUGGGCCGCCAUUCAGCGAAACGUGCACGCCGCGAUGGCGAGCAUGGGGCUGGAGAAGAGCGAUGAUAAGGCGCAGCAGCAGCAGGUCAGCAGCGCCUCCGGCUCCCCGAAGGCGUCGGCCGGCGCGCACGUUGGCCUAAGCGAUCGGAGCAAGCGAGAGUUCCAGCAGCUGCGGGACGAGCUGCAGUCGGAACUCGCGAAGCGCAAGGCAGGCAGCAAGUGAAUCGUGCCCGAGAGAAAACCGCACAAGACAGAGGUGGCAAUUUGCGCGGAAAUCGAGACUCUGAGGCUUUGGCGCCACAAGUGCGAAUGGGAAAGGCCAGACAGUCUCGCGUCACACCGCCUAUGAGCGACAUCACUUUGCUAUUUGGUCGUGCCCCCUGCCGCGCCAAGCCCCCACCCCCACCCCUCCCCACUCAGUCGUCUUUGUUCUCAACUAUUCGUGUCAUAAGUGCAUGCCCGCUCGCGCUAUUAUCGUGAUCGCAGUGGCCCAACUGGACUUCUCAAAUUCUCUUUUGCCUUCCAUCCUCACUGAUGUGCUCAUCCGUGUCGCGGCUGCUCUGUGCUAUGUAGUUGACCGUCGAUGCCGUUUUUUCAAUCUGCACCUGCACAAUGGAAGCACUAUGAUGGAGGGUAGCAGAGAGAAGGCGCAUCGUCAGCUCUGGAUACAUAUGCGUGAGUGUAUGUUUUUAUGUAGGAAUGUGCAUGUGCACGUAUUGUAUAUGUGUGUGUGCAUAUGUGUGUGCGUACGUCCUUCUCUCUCCGUCUCUGCAUCAGCGUGCGGUGGGGUGUUCCCGUGUCUAGUCGUUGCUGCUCACUCACUUGGGCGUGUGUACAUUUUAUUACGAUUUUCAUUUCUUUUUGGUUUUGUUUGCGAUGCCGCGAAAGAUGCUUGCUGGCAGUGUCUCUCUUCUCGCUCCCUGUAUGUGUUUAUGUGUCGCGGUAGUCGUAGUGGUUGUGGUUUUGUUUCGUUUCGCUUUCUUCUCUUGCCAACCUUGUGUGCGAUUCGUUGCUGAGCGAUGGAAAAAA
rnacentral:misc_RNA from 1 species